GGUCUAACCCUGACCCUUCAGUGCACUUGGCAAGUAACCCCCGCGUAAAUGCGUGGAGCGCGUAAGUGGACAUAAUGGAGAGUUCGCGUGGGCGGGAAGUUCCCACCCGAUCAAAGUGGGCAACCCUGCUGACGAUGGGCCUGCGUCCUAUCAAGUAGUUGGUGGGGUAACGGCCCACCAAGCCGACCACAUGGUAACUGGCCUGAAAGGGUGGUCAGCCACACCGGCACUGAGACACGGGCCGGAAUCCUACCGGAGGCAGCAGUGGGGAAUCUUGCACAAUGGGCGAAGAGCCUGAUGCAGCGACGCCGCGUGCGGUGAAGAAGGGGCGUAUGCCCUGUAAACCGCUCUCCGGGGGGAAGAAAGGGGGAGCAUGCUCCCCUGGUACAGUACCCCCAGAGGAAAGGCCGGCUAACUACGUGCCA
rnacentral:rRNA from 1 species